rnacentral:rRNA from 1 species
AUUGAACGCUGGCGGCAGGCCUAACACAUGCAAGUCGAGCGGCGAGGCAGAGGGGGGAGUAAUGCGUAGGAAUAUGCCUGGGAGUGGGGGAUAAUGUCCGGAAACGGGCGCUAAUACCGAUUACUAGCAGUUCCGCAUCAGCCGGAUUAGCUUGUUGGUGGGGUAAAGGCCUACAAGGGCGACGAUCCGUAACUGGUCUGAGUUGAUGAUCAGUCACACUGGAACUGAGACACGGUCCAGACUCCUACGGGAGGCAGCAGUGGGGAAUAUUGGAAAAGGGGGGAAAGCCUGAUCCAGCCAUGCCGGGUGUGUGAAGAAGGCCUUAGGAUUGUAAAGCACUUUAAGUUGGGAGGCGUUACCAACAGAAUAAGCACCGGCUAACGUCGUGCCAGCAGCCGCGGUAAUAC